GAAUUCGCCCUUAGAGUUUGAUCCUGGCUCAGGAUGAACGCUGGCGGCAUGCCUAAUACAUGCAAGUCGAACGGAGCACUUCGGUGCUUAGUGGCGAACGGGUGAGUAACACGUAGGUAACAUAACUAUAAGCCGAGGAUAACGGUUGGAAACGACUGCUAAGACUGGAUAGGAAUUAAAGGGGCAUCUCUUUAAUUUUAAAGGACCACUGGUACACUUAUAGAAUGACCUGCGGCGCAUUAGCUAGUUGGUAAGGUAGCGGCUUACCAAGGCGAUGAUGCGUAGCCGGACUGAGAGGUUGAACGGCCACAUUGAGACUGAGACACGGCCCAAACUCCUACGGGAGGCAGCAGUGGGGAAUAUUGCACAAUGGGGGAAACCCUGAUGCAGCGACGCCGCGUGAGUGAAGAAGUAUUUCGGUAUGUAAAGCUCUAUCAGCAGGGAAGAAAAUGACGGUACCUGACUAAGAAGCCCCGGCUAACUACGUGCCAGCAGCCGCGGUAAUACGUAGGGGGCAAGCGUUAUCCGGAUUUACUGGGUGUAAAGGGCGUGUAGGCGGUCUCGCAAGUCGGAUGUGAAAUUCCCAGGCUUAACCUGGGCACUGCAACCGAAACUGCGUGACUUGAGUACUGGAGAGGAUAGUGGAAUUCCUAGUGUAGCGGUAAAAUGCGUAGAUAUUAGGAGGAACACCGGUGGCGAAGGCGACUAUCUGGACAGUAACUGACGCUGAGGCGCGAAAGCGUGGGGAGCAAACAGGAUUAGAUACCCUGGUAGUCCACACUGUAAACGAUGAUAACUCGCUGUCGGCGAUACACAGUCGGUGGCCAAGCGAAAGCAUUAAGUUAUCCACCUGGGGAGUACGACCGCAAGGUUGAAACUCAAAGGAAUUGACGGGGGCCCGCACAAGCGGAGGAACAUGUGGUUUAAUUCGAUGAUACGCGAGGAACCUUACCCGGGCUCGAACGGUGCAUGAAUAUACGAGAGAUUGUAUAGUCCUUCGGGACAUGUAUCGAGGUGCUGCAUGGUUGUCGUCAGCUCGUGCCGUGAGGUGUCGGCUUAAGUGCCAUAACGAGCGCAACCCUUGUCAUUAGUUGCCAUCAGGUCAAGCUGGGGACUUUAAUGAGACUGCCACCGUAAGGUGUGAGGAAGGGGGGGAGGACGUCAAAUCAGCACGGCCCUUAUGUCCGGGGCGACACACGUGUUACAAUGGGAGGUACAGAGGGCAGCUAUCCGGUGACGGAAUGCUAAUCUCCAAAACCUUUCUCAGUUCGGAUUGGAGUCUGCAACUCGACUCCAUGAAGGUGGAUUCGCUAGUAAUCGCGCAUCAGCCAUGGCGCGGUGAAUACGUUCCCGGGCCUUGUACACACCGCCCGUCAA
rnacentral:rRNA from 1 species